CUUUCUCAGACAUUCACUCCCAGCUGGCUGUAGCAGCAGGUUGAGCGCAGAUUUCCUUUUUCCUUUGUCUUGUACAUCCAAUACCUCCUUCUUUCCUUGCUUGGUCUUCUUUAUAUUGACAUGGUAGCAGAGUUGGACAGCGGGUCGAGGGUUGUAGUCCAGGCUUUUGCCAGCAGGUCUGGUUUCACAGAGGCAGACUUCAGGCUCCUCUUGCCCAGUCAUGGAGCCUUUUGCAGAGGUUCCAUUGUUUGAGAUGGACCAGGAAGAGGAGGAGGAAGAUGAUUGUCUCCCAGUGAGGAGCAGAGCCACAGACCCUGACACAUUCAUUUACAUGAACUUCAUGAAGAGUCACUGUUGCUACGACGCGAUCCCUACCAGCUCCAAACUGGUCAUUUUUGACACAACACUACAGGUGAAGAAGGCUUUCUUUGCUCUGGUAGCUAACGGAGUGAGGGCCGCUCCACUGUGGGACAACAAGCUGAAGUGUUUUGUGGGUAUGCUGACCAUCACUGACUUCAUCAACAUUCUCCAUCGCUAUUACAAGUCCCCUCUGGUUCAGAUAUAUGAGCUUGAAGAGCACAAGAUAGAGACAUGGAGAGAGAUCUACCUACAGCUCCACAUCAACAGACUGAUCAGCAUCACUCCUGACUGCAGUCUUUUUGAUGCCAUCUAUUCCUUGUUGAAGAAUAAGAUACACCGGCUGCCGAUCAUCGACCCGGCAUCGGGAAAUGUCCUCCACAUCCUGACUCACAAACGCAUCCUCAAGUUCCUCCACAUCUUUGGAUCUAUGAUUCCUAAGCCCAGGUUUCUUCAGAAGCGGAUCAAUGAGGUGGCGAUCGGUACCUUCAGAGAGAUUGCCACAGUCCAGCAAUCGGCCUCAGUCUACGACGCUCUGACUAUCUUUGUGGAGAGAAGAGUGUCUGCUCUGCCUGUAGUCAAUGAGCAAGGUAAAGUCGUGGCACUGUACUCCAGGUUUGACGUCAUUAACCUCGCGGCUCAGAAAAACUACAACAACCUGGAUAUGACGAUGAAGGAGGCAAUUUCCUCCAGAGCUUGCUGUAUGGAGGGGGUGCUUAAGUGUUACCCUUACGAAACACUGGAGACCAUCAUCGACCGAAUUGCAAAGGCUGAGGUGCAUCGCUUGGUGUUGGUUGACAGUGACGAUGUGGUGAGAGGGAUUGUCUCCCUAUCUGACCUUCUACAAGCCCUGGUUCUCACUCCUGCAGAUAAUGAGUGUCUUUCUUCUGUUCCUGUGAAAUGUUCUGACGUCAAAGAUUCAACUCUGCCUUGGUCCUCCUUCUCUGAUCCUUUCAAGAAUACUUCAAUUAAUUAUACAAAGUACCAGAUUUAGGAAUUCGUCUGAAGACUCCCGUGCUAGUGAGCGAUCAAUAUCUGACACAUGUAUUUAAACCCUGCUGUGAUCAACUAACAACUCUCUUUCUGCUAUUUCAAAAUACACCAACCACCUCAACAGGAACAAACAGUCUUUACAUUUCCUCUAAAUCUAAUUUGAAGCAGCAAACUAAAUUAUCCUGACCUGAUGCAUCUUGCCUCUAGAAAAUAAGUAAAAACAACGCUUCAGAACCCCCUGCCUAUCCAAAAUCAACAUUGCUUUAACUGUUAAACGCUUAAUCUUUCAUUCCAACUUCAAAACCAGAACAGUUGCAUCCAUCAAAAUCCUGCAACAACCAAGUAGUUUCCUUAAGCUCUACAAAGUUGGAUGUUCGGGGGGAACAUCCCCAGCGUCUUCAUGCUGCAGUUCCUCCUCUGAAACCACCAUGUCACCAGCUCCUCUUAGCCCACAACCCCCAGAUAUGUGUGAAGGAUCAUACUUUCAACAAUGAACAAAACAAGAUGGACAUUGAUGGAUUGAAAGAGACUAUAAAGGGGAAAGUCAGCCGGAGAUUACCGCUGAGAGGUCCCUGGUUUCAAUCCCAGUCAAGAAGACACACUGUAUAUGGAAAGAGAAAGGGAAAAUCAUCUCAGUGGACACUAACAGAACACUUGUUGGGAAGAUACCAGAGGUGAACUAUUUUAAAGGUGUGGCUGGAAAACUGCGUUGACCUGAAGAUGUACAUCCAAAGACUUUCUAACUGACCUGGACUAACGCAUCACAUUUUAAGUUACUUUGCAAGUUAGGUUGUAUACAAAUGUAGUUGUUAAAGUUAUGUUUAAUGGUUUAUAGUUUACCUUUUGAACUUAGAAAUUCUUAUAUUAGAUUUUAGAAUUGUGAUCACCUUUUUAUAAAUGCACUUACGCUCCAGUCACUGUGAACCAAUAAAUAAAUGUUUUGCUUUGAA